CUAUUCGCUGUUCCAGGAAUCCAAAUAUCUGAUUGGACAACACAUUUUAUAGGAACUCUCUAUAGCAUCACACCUCCAAACAGAAUCUAGCAGUUCGGUGGCUCAGAAGUAUUGCCUUUAAGUUUAUUCUAUUAACAAGCUUUCCUAGUUCAGACAGUAUUUGUAAAAGGUUGACAGAGGUGCUAUGGCAGUAUAGUAAUUCAUGAUGUGGGUAUGAAAUGCAAUCAUAGUAUAUGGCA